ACGAGAUGGGCUAUAAAUAACCUACAACCCAUUCCCUCUUCUCAUCAUCACAUACUCUACUAACUUUCCCUCACAAGUCCAUAUACAUACAUUAGGUGCUGUGUUACUACUAGCUAGCGAGGUGCAAUGGGUAAGGAAAAGGCUCAGGUGAAUAUUGUUGUGGUUGGUCAUGUGGAUUCUGAGAAGCCAAAUACUGAAGAACCCAUAAACAUGCCAAUUGUUGUGGAGAUCCAAGCUGAUGAGAUGAUAUAAUUAAGAGGUCGUUAAUGACCUCAAUGUGUUAAAAGGGAACCAGAAAAUUAGUAAUUAACAAUGCUGUAAAAAUAAAUCUGGUACCCCUACUCAAACUUAUGGUUAUGUUUAUUUUGCUUUCACUGAAAUAAAAUGCAUGCCUCUUAAUUUA